rnacentral:rRNA from 1 species
AGAACGAACGCUGGCGGCAUGCCUAACACAUGCAAGUCGAACGAGACCUUCGGGUCUAGUGGCGCACGGGUGCGUAACGCGUGGGAAUCUGCCCUUGGGUUCGGAAUAACUUCGGGAAACUGAAGCUAAUACCGGAUGAUGACGUAAGUCCAAAGAUUUAUCGCCCAAGGAUGAGCCCGCGUAGGAUUAGCUAGUUGGUGAGGUAAAGGCUCACCAAGGCGACGAUCCUUAGCUGGUCUGAGAGGAUGAUCAGCCACACUGGGACUGAGACACGGCCCAGACUCCUACGGGAGGCAGCAGUGGGGAAUAUUGGACAAUGGGCGAAAGCCUGAUCCAGCAAUGCCGCGUGAGUGAUGAAGGCCUUAGGGUUGUAAAGCUCUUUUACCCGAGAUGAUAAUGACAGUAACGGGGGAAUAAGCUCCGGCUAACUCCGUG